rnacentral:rRNA from 1 species
CCCCUUGAAAAUAAAUUAAAUAAGGGGUACUGCCUGCCCAGUGACAAAGUUAAACGGCCGCGGUAUUUUGACCGUGCAAAGGUAGCAUAAUAAUUUGUUCUUUAAUUGAGGACUAGUAUGAAAGGCAACACGAAAGCUUAACUGUCUCCCUACUAAAAAAAGAAGUUCUUCUCUUUGUGAAGAAACAAAGAUAAAACCGUAAGACGAGAAGACCCUGUCGAGCUUAAGAAAAUUUUUAUAAAAAAACCACAGCUAAUGCUUAAACCUACUAAAAACUAAAUAAAAAUAUCUUUGGUUGGGGCAACCACGAAGAAAAAAAAACCUUCGACCUUAAAAAAAAAUUUACAAAUUUAAAAAUUUAUAAAAGACAAAGACCCAGAAAAUACUGAUCAAAGGAAAAAGUUACCGCAGGGAUAACAGCGUUAUUCUCUUUAAGAGUUCAUAUUGACAAGAGAGUUUGCGACCUCGAUGUUGGACCGGGGCACCCAAGAGGUGCAACAGCCUCUAAAGGUGGGUCUGUUCGACCCUUAAAGCCCUACGUGAUCU